GAUGAAGAACGCAGCGAAAUGCGACAAGUAAUGUGAAUUGCAGAAUUCCGUGAAUCAUCGAAUCUUUGAACGCACAUUGCGCCCCCUGGUAUUCCGGGGGGCAUGCCUGUCCGAGCGUCAUUACAACCCUCAAGCUCAGCUUGGUGUUGGGCCCCGCCGCCCCGGCGGGCCCUAAAGUCAGUGGCGGUGCCGUCCGGCUCCGAGCGUAGUAAUUCUUCUCGCUCUGGAGGCCCGGUCGUGUGCUCGCCAGCAACCCCCAAUUUUUUUCAGGUUGACCUCGGAUCAGGUAGGGAUACCCGCUGAACUUAAGCAUAUCAAUAAGCGGAGGA
rnacentral:misc_RNA from 1 species